CUUUAAUAACAUUUUGAUUCUAUAAUUUGUUCCUAUUAUUAUGAAAAGCAGUUGGUAUUACUGCCUUUCCCUGGUUAAUGUUUAGGCAAUAUUUCAGAUUUUUUUAAAUUUAUUUUUUAUCUGCACUAAAGGAAUAAAUUAUAUCUGGAUAUAUAUUCAGUCAGACAGUAAAGGUUGUCUUUCAGCAAAAAUGUUUUGUAUUGUAAGCUUCUUUAUCAACACUAAACUAAAAUGUAUAAUGCAAUCUCAAAUUCACUGUUUUUGUCAACAGAACUGUAAACAUGAUCUGGUUUCCUCAGUAGUUCCAAGCUUGGAGAAAUGUGCCGUGUGCAAUGGACCCUUUUCUGCCUUGAGAUGGCUUAGUAUUAAAUGUAAAGUUUGUUCCUGCGUCUGGCACAGAUCCUGUUAUGACAAAAGGGUCAAAAAGACUGAUUGUGAACACCUACCAAUGGUUUCUGAAGAGCCCAGUUCAAGUUCAAGUGAUGAUAUAUCAGAGGAGGAAUAUGUUCCAGAUUCUUGCAGUCAGUCAGACAGUUCCUGCACUGAGCCUGCUUCAAAAAUUCAAAAACGUAGAGACUGGCCAGACAUACUCGUAUAUGACAACCCAUUAUGUGAAGGUGCAGAUGGUACAGAGCAGGUUGAGAAGACUUGUGAGGAGGCAAAGCAAGUAUUAGGAGAAGUUCAGAUUGAAGUUCAGGAGAGCAGAACUGAAGAUGAAUUUGUUAAGGGUAACACAGGAACUGGGGAAGAUCAAUGCAUCCAGUCUUCAAACAUUUCCACUUCGGGAAAUAAGAAAAAUUACUGCUACAUCUGUGGUAAACCACAGUCAAAAAUUGCCCGUCACUUGAAAACCCAUGAGAAGACAAGUGUGGAUGUUGCUCAAGUUUUUGCACUCCCAAAAUAUUCUAAAGACCGUAAGAAAAUGCUGAAUAAACUCAGGAACCAAGGGAACUAUAAACAUAACACGGAUGUUUUAAAGAGUGGGACUGGAUUGCUUAAAAUCAGACGUAAAUCGAAUAAAAAGUAUGAUCCAAAGCAGUAUGUGCAUUGCAUGUAUUGCCAAGCUAUGUAUCUUCGGAGGGAUCUGUGGCGACAUGUUCGAAAAUGUCCCUCAAAACCAACGGAAGCCAAUGCAGGUCCUGGAAGAACUAGGGUCUUGUCUUUGGCCACAAUGUCUGAAUCAGCCCAGUGUCAACAGAUAUCCCAAGGUGUUUGGAAGCUGUUAACUGCGAUGAAAGAUGAUGAUGUUUCUGCUGCUGUGCGCAGUGACUUCUGUAUUCUUCAGCUGGCCCAAUCGUUUUUCAAUAAACAUGGUCAAGAUCCCACCAAAUAUGAAUAUGUUUGGCAGAAGCUCAGAGAAGUUGGAAGACUUCUGCUGACACUGCGCAAAGAGUUUUCAGUAUUUACUAUUGAGGAUGCUAUAAGGCCUGCAAAUUUUCAUUUGGUCAUUCAAGCUGUCAAGAAGGUGUCUGGGUUUGAUGAAGAAAAGCACUGCUACAAAACACCAAGCCUUGCACUUAAAUUGGGUCAUUCAUUGCAAAAGGUAUGCGACAUCCUACACUGCAGGGCUCUAAUGGCAGGGGACAGUGAACUGAAAAAGUCAACCCGGACAUUCAAAACACUGUAUACCUCCAAAUGGUCUGAACUUGUCUCUCACACAGCUUUGACUACCUUGAAUGAGGAACACUUUAACAAGCCAUCUACCCUGCCGUUUACAGAAGAUGUGCAAUGUCUCCAGAGACAGGCCACCUGUUGAGGAACCUCCAGGCACCUCAGACGAUAUUGACUCUGCCCUAGAAGGCACAUCUACAGCAUUCAACGAAUACACAGACAGCGUGAACAAAGAGCGCGGCAGGACAGCAGAGCAGCAUGACCAACCUGUGUCCCCUGGAAAUUGCCCGGAGAGACAGAAUCAAAGAAGGCAACAGAAAAGGCAGUGGUCCCCAAAAGAGGUUGCAGCUAUAAUGAGACAUUUUAAAAAGCACAUUGCCAAGGGAAAACUGGCCACAAAAAUUGAUUGCCAGCAGUGCAAGAACGCUGAACAUCCUGAUCUUGAUAGGCGGUCACUUCAAAACAUCAGAGACUUUGUUAGAAAUCGGGGCAUAGCUCUGCAAAAGGAAACCAGCCAAUAAAGUGUUAUGUUGCUGUUAUGAUGCAAUUAUGUUGUAGUUCUUUGUUGUUCUUAAAAAAGGGCUAGUUUCCGCUGAUGCCUCAGUUUUUUUGUAAACUGCUGUCUGUAUUAAAAUGGCACCUUUUUCACUGACUGAUGUAAUUUGUCUGUUUGUAUAAGCUGUCUUUUAUAAGGUCAUACUGGAUGUAGAUUACCAGUCAUAUCACACAAAUAGCAUUGUAUUUCAGGAGACCACUGCACUUUAAAGUGGUCCUCCUACUGCAUCAGCGAUGUCAUUGCUGCAUGUGUACCAUAUUAAAUACCACUUGUAUUUGCAAUGACUUUGAAGUUUAAUCACUCAUGCCCUCAAAGGGGCAAAAGACAUAAAUCAGACAAUAAAAGUGGUUGCACACAUUGACCUAUCUAUAUCUAUUUAUGUAU